rnacentral:rRNA from 1 species
AUUGAACGCUGGCGGCAGGCUUAACACAUGCAAGUCGAGCGGGGGAAGGUAGCUUGCUACUGGACCUAGCGGCGGACGGGUGAGUAAUGCUUAGGAAUCUGCCUAUUAGUGGGGGACAACAUCUCGAAAGGGAUGCUAAUACCGCAUACGUCCUACGGGAGAAAGCAGGGGAUCUUCGGACCUUGCGCUAAUAGAUGAGCCUAAGUCGGAUUAGCUAGUUGGUGGGGUAAAGGCCUACCAAGGCGACGAUCUGUAGCGGGUCUGAGAGGAUGAUCCGCCACACUGGGACUGAGACCCGGCCCAGACUCCUACGGGAGGCAGCAGUGGGGAAUAUUGGACAAUGGGGGGAACCCUGAUCCAGCCAUGCCGCGUGUGUGAAGAAGGCCUUAUGGUUGUAAAGCACUUUAAGCGAGGAGGAGGCUACUCUAGUUAAUACCUAGGGAUAGUGGACGUUACUCGCAGAAUAAGCGCCGGCUAACUCUGUGCCAGCCGCCGCCGUAA